rnacentral:rRNA from 1 species
GAUGAACGCUGGCGGCGUGCCUAAUACAUGCAAGUCGAGCGAACAGACGAGGAGCUUGCUCCUCUGACGUUAGCGGCGGACGGGUGAGUAACACGUGGAUAACCUACCUAUAAGACUGGGAUAACUUCGGGAAACCGGAGCUAAUACCGGAUAAUAUAUUGAACCUCAUGGUUCAAUAGUGAAAGACGGUUUUGCUGUCACUUAUAGAUGGAUCCGCGCCGCAUUAGCUAGUUGGUAAGGUAACGGCUUACCAAGGCAACGAUGCGUAGCCGACCUGAGAGGGUGAUCGGCCACACUGGAACUGAGACACGGUCCAGACUCCUACGGGAGGCAGCAGUAGGGAAUCUUACGCAAUGGGCGAAAGCCUGACGGAGCAACGCCGCGUGAGUGAUGAAGGUCUUCGGAUCGUAAAGCGCUGUUAUUAGGGAAGAACAAAUGUGUAAGUAACUAUGCACGUCUUGACGGUACCUAAUCAGAAAGCCACGGCUAACUACGUG